UACAGAGGGUGCAAGCGUUGUUCGGAAUUAUUGGGCGUAAAGCGCGUGUAGGCGGCUUUGCAAGUCGGGUGUGAAAGCCCUCAGCUCAACUGAGGAAGUGCGCCCGAAACUGCAGAGCUUGAGUGCCGGAGAGGGUGGCGGAAUUCCCCAAGUAGAGGUGAAAUUCGUAGAUAUGGGGAGGAACACCAGUGGCGAAGGCGGCCACCUAGCCCGCACCUGACGCUGAGGCGCGACAGCGUGGGGAGCGAACUGG
rnacentral:rRNA from 1 species